GAUGAACGCUGGCGGCGUGCCUAAUACAUGCAAGUCGAGCGAACAGACGAGGAGCUUGCUCCUUUGACGUUAGCGGCGGACGGGUGAGUAACACGUAGGUAACCUACCUAUAAGACUGGGAUAACUUCGGGAAACCGGAGCUAAUACCGGAUAAUAUUUUGAACCGCAUGGUUCGAUAGUGAAAGAUGGCUUUGCUGUCACUUAUAGAUGGACCUGCGCCGUAUUAGCUAGUUGGUAAGGUAACGGCUUACCAAGGCAACGAUACAUAGCCGACCUGAGAGGGUGAUCGGCCACACCGGAACUGAGACACGGUCCAGACUCCUACGGGAGGCAGCAGUAGGGAAUCUUCCGCAAUGGGCGAAAGCCUGACGGAGCAACGCCGCGUGAGUGAUGAAGGUCUUCGGAUCGUAAAACUCUGUUAUUAGGGAAGAACAAACGUGUAAGUAACUGUGCACGUCUUGACGGUACCUAAUCAGAAAGCCACGGCUAACUACGUG
rnacentral:rRNA from 1 species